UACGUAGGGUGCAAGCGUUGUCCGGAAUUAUUGGGCGUAAAGAGCUCGUAGGCGGUUUGUCGCGUCUGCUGUGAAAACCCGAGGCUCAACCUCGGGCCUGCAGUGGGUACGGGCAGACUAGAGUGCGGUAGGGGAGAUUGGAAUUCCCGGUGUAGCGGUGGAAUGCGCAGAUAUCAGGAGGAACACCAAUGGCGAAGGCAGAUCUCUGGGCCGUAACUGACGCUGAGGAGCGAAAGCAUGGGGAGCGAAUGGG
rnacentral:rRNA from 1 species